AUAAAUAGGGGAGAAUGAGGAUGGAAUGGGCAUUCAGUGAGUUGGAACAUUUGCAAGUAAAAGAGAAAUCCUCUGUGAAAGGGAAACUGUUGGAGAACUACUUUUCCUUGUUGUGUUUAGUUUGAAUAAAUUGGUUAGGGUAAAAAAUCUUAAACUUGUUGGUAGUGAUGGCUGGAACCUAAUGCGAGAAGGUGAAGCAGAGAAGCAGAAACAAUAUGCUGCUUUGGUGUGGAUUUCUCGACCUCUAAAGGAUGAAGAUUUUCAAUGUGUUUCUUCUCUCAAGGAUUUGCAAAAUUGAUCACAAGUUAAGGAAGAACACAAAGUUCAGAACCUUUUGCCAUAGUGUGUACAAGGUGAUGAUCCAUGAGAGGAUCAGUAUAGUUACACUAGGACCCCUGUAGAAGAGGGCAUUGGGUUCUUAAAUCAUCAAAUACUUAACAAAUGUUGCUUCCAUUUGCUAGCUUAGAGGAGCUUUGCUACUAAAUAAAAACUUGGUUUAAUCAAUUU